CUUGAGAAAAGAAGAUUCAGAGUGGAUCUGACUAAUGUUUAUAAGUCUCUUAAGUGUGGGAGUCAAAGAGACAUGGCCAACCUCUUUUCAGCAGUCUCUGGGGACAGAACAAGGAGAAACAGCCAUAAACUGGAGCACAGGAAAUUCUACACCAAUAAGCAAAAUAACUUCUUCACAGUGAGGAUGACAGAGCACGGGAACAGGCUGCCCUGGGAUGUUGUGGAUUUUCCUUUUCUGGAGAUAUUCAAGACCUGCCUGGACAGCUACCUGUGUAACCUGCUGUAGGGGGUCUGCUUUGCAGUCGUUGUCGCCACCGCCACCAUGGACACCGUUGUCAACAGAACAACAACGACUGACAACCCACCACUACUGAAGAUCAAUGACUGAACUGCGAACCAUGUUGGACCAUGUCCAAGACAGCUUCUCUUCACUCAAUGAGGAUGUGGCAAGCCAAAAGGUUGGACGUCAGCAUAUUAGGCAAUGGUGUAUCAGGAGCCUGGAUUACCUUGUUUGUACUUGGAAAGUAUUAAGUAAAAUUAUCUCAAUUUCUUGUUCUCUCAAGCUGCUUAUAGAUGACUGUAAAUGAAAGACAAAAAGUCUUGUUUUAGAGAGAAAGUUCUUUCAUCAUACUCUUUCCUUGGGGCUGUUGAAGAUAUUAUCCUGCAGGCUUUAUGUGCUUCUUGUACACUAUGGUCAUUGAUGAAGAUGUUGAACAAGACCAGACCCAGUACUGAGCAACCCCUGGGGAUCACUGCUAGCUACAGAUCUUCAACUAGACAACACUGCUGAUCGACAGACCUUUGAGCUCUGCCAGUUAGCCAGUUCUCAGCCCAUCUCACUGUCCACUCAUCUAUUCUACACUAGCACUUAUAAAAAACACAAUAGAAAAACCUUAGCAUAUGAGAGUAAUAUAAAUUAGAAAUAAUCCUGAAUAUACUUCCAAAUUUUAGUAUUAGGAAACUGUCUUGGUUUCAACUGUGACAGAGUUUAUUUAAUUCAUAGUGUAAGGUAUGAAGCUAUGUUUUGACUCUGGGAGAAAAACAACACUGAUAGUAAUCAAAACACACCAAUGUUUUAGCUAUUGCUGAGCUUCUUGUAUUGUACUGCCAGUGAUGGGGGCUGAGGGGACACACGUUGUUGGGAGAGCACAGAACCAAGAGGCUGACCUAAACUGAAGGGAUAUUCCAUACCAUACAACAUUGUGUAAAAAAAGUUAAAGAACUUUUAGAGUGAGAAGCGGUGGAGGGGAGUAACCAUUUUGGGGGACUGUUUGGGCAUUGUUUGGAAGGUGGUGAGUGUGUUGUUAAUUACUUGUUUUGUAAAUAUAUAUUAUCAUUAAUAUUAUUAUUUUCCUUUUCUGUCUUAGUAAAUGGUGUUUUAAGUCAACCCAUGAGUUCUAAUCUGUUGUUUUUUUCCCAGUUCUCUCCACAGUCCCAGUGGGAGGAAGGAUUAAGCAAAUGACUGUGUGGCAUUUAGCUGACUGCUGGGUUAAACUACGUUAUUUUUGUUUGUUUGUUUUUGUUUGUUUGUUUUUUUUCCCCCUGCUAUAAAUGCUCCUUUUGCUUGUGUGUAGUUUGAGGAAUUUGAGUAGCAAGAGGUAAACUGAAAAAGAAUUCCUUGUCUCAGUGAGGAAUCACCUACUUAGUAAUAUAAAUCUAUGUGACACAGAAAGCAAUAUAUUCAUCCAAUUAAAUUCAGUGUGUUUUUAGUAUCAUGAUAUACGGAUUUUUGAAAUAUGUAUCUUUCAUUUUGGUUCUUAGAAAUGUGUUGUGUGAGCCAACACAGGUAUAAGUUAUAUAGGAAUGAAAUGAGAAGCAUUAUCCUAUGAUCUAUUGCAUUGUUGUAUAUGAAAUGAAAAUAGGCUAGGGAGCCUAUUAUGACUGUUGUGCUACUUGAAUCCAUGAUAAUGAGAGAACUUAGAAAAUCCUGUAUGUCAAAUAUUAGUCUCUCUCAAGUGACUUGUUUCCCUGUGAAAUUUAUUAACACUAUAUGUGACAAUAUUUUGUUAUAAAGUUACAAAUCACAGUUAAUAAUAGUUUGGAGGGAAUUUUUUUUUUUUUUUUUUUGUACUUUAGACUCAG
ensembl:lncRNA